GGGCGAAUGGUUUAGUGGUAUAAUACUCCCUUAGCAUGUUCGCUCCUCUGAGCUUCAUCAUUGGGAGUGGUCCAGGGUUCGAUUCCCUGUUCGUCCA